ensembl:lncRNA
AUCAUGUAUGAACUGAACGACAUCUAUGCCAAUGUGGAGGACCUGUCGGGCAAACGAAGGAGUAUAUCCCAAAGCUCUGAAGUGUUUAUGAAAAUGUGAUGAUCAACACUCUGAAGCCAAGCAGAAGUGGACCCUCGCCCUCAGGUGUUGGAGAUGUGAAGAAGAGUUCCUUUAGAGCCGUGGCAGUGCUUCUGGGUCUCCUGAGUUUCUUCCUUCUGACAGGACUCAUAACUUCGGUUUGCCUGUUCACCAAAGGCAUCUCACAGAGGGAAAUGGAGAUAAUCCUGUUACAGACCAGUUACACCAACCUGACUAAAGAAAGAGACAACCUCUUGAAAGGAGUUCAACACUUGGGCAAUGAACUAAAUAUUUGUCUCACAAAGAUACAAAUUUUUUAAACCCUUUGGAGCCAAAUGGACAUCGGUUAAGAGAUGAAGAUGUAGAAAAGAACAGCUGUUAUUUGGAAAACAGCUAGAAUGAUGACCAGUGUGACCACAAAACACUUUGGAGAAGAAAUGUCCUUCAUAACUCCAAACCAAGCAUUCAAACUAACUAAACAAUGAGUUAGAAACAAGGAAAUACUCAAUACUUGGUUCUCUAGUUUAAGCUGAAGUUGACAAGGCAGUUUAACAUAAUGCUAAGCAAGCUACUCUCCAGGUAAAGUGUCCAAUUAAGUGUAAAUGCUCUGAAUUUGAAUAUGAAUAUCUAGUUCUGUGCUUCCUUUUAAACACUGAAUAUGAUGAGUAUUAUUAUUGACAACUCACCUAAAUCCAACCCUAAAUAAGAUGUAAUGAUAUUUCAAUUAUUCCAACAGAUCAUUAUUGCAUCCUGCUUUAAUUGUAUUUUCUAUUGGAAGUAUAAAAGCAUGUGGAACUUCUUCUGCUAAAGAAAGACAUAUUUUAAAUCACUGCUUAAUAAAUAUGUCCAUCCAUCCAUCCAUUGUCAAACCGCUUAUCCUGCACACAGGG